rnacentral:rRNA from 1 species
GAAAGAACUAACAAGGAUUCCCUCAGUAACGGCGAGUGAAGCGGGAAGAGCCCAGCACCGAAUCCCCCGGCCGUGUGGUCGACGGGACCUGUGGUGUUUGGGAGUGUCUUUGGUGCGUUGGCGCGGCGUCCGAGUCCUCCUGAUCGGGGCUUGUCCCAGAGCGGGUGUAAGGCCUCUACGGCGCUAAGCUGCGUGUCUCUGGCGCUCUCUGGAGUCGGGUUGUUUGAGAAUGCAGCCCAAAGUGGGUGGUAAACUCCAUCUAAGGCUAAAUACAGGCACAAGUCCGAUAGCGAACAAGUACGGUGACGGAAAGUUGAAAAGCACUUUGAAGAGAGAGUUGGAAAGUACGUGAAACCGUUUACAGGUAAACGGAUGGGACCGCAAUGUCGGCGGCGGGGAUUCAGGCCUCUGGCUGCUCGUUCGGUGUGCGUUCGGCGAUGCUGUAGUGGCACGUCGGCGUGCCUUUGUAGCGGCGGCUGGGGGACGCACUUUCCCGUUUGUCGAGCGCCACGACCGCCUGACUGGCAGACAGAAGCCCUCGGUCAUAGGUAGCCUGUGCGCCCCCCUCGCGGGGUGUGCGUGCGGGAACUUAUAGGGCCGGGGUGAGUUUACUGUCCUGCUGGGUGGGCGAGGAACUCGGGCCGCGUCGAGCGGACGCUGAGCACACCGUGCAUUGUGCGACUGUCGAGGACUGCUUGCAGUGCUUGGCGACUGCUGUGUUCGGGUUGGUGUUUGCGUUCAGCCGGCGCCGAAGGGUCAGUGGCGUACGGUCGGCACCCCAUCCGACCCGUCUUGAAACACGGACCAAGGAGUCUAACAUGUGCGCAAGUCAAAGGGUCGUACGAAACCCCAGGGCGAAAUGAAAGUGAACGUAGGUGUGAUCCGGGUGCNUUGCCGCUCGGCGCAACACCGGUCCCGUCUCGCGGUCUU